rnacentral:rRNA from 1 species
GGAAGGUGUACUUGGAUAAAU